GGUAUGAUCUCUGAGUUGGAUAGUUGAUAAAAAGUACACUUUUCCAAAUUCAAGCAAUAAAAAUGGAAUGCUGAAUGCAAUAGUCAUAGAUAACACCAAAAUCGUAAGAUGUUUAUCGAGGGAAAUAUAAUUCGUCUUAAAAUAAGUAAUUAUCCUUUGUAUCUCGCACUUCGAGAUUACGAAGGUAGUUUCACUACUUUCAUGACUUGGACCACAAUUCAGAUCUAAAGUGAACGACUGGGGCGCCCCGUGACCAUUGUGGCGCUGCCCUAUUACUAUUUAUUCAUUCGUUAUUUUUGCGUAAGACAGAUCACACGUUUGGUGCAAGUGAACAGUUUCAACGUAUUUUAUUAAUAAUAAUAGAGAUAGAAAAUUAUCAAUGGGUAGUAGCAAGAAGAAAAGGUCAAGAAGUCGGGAUCGUUCAAGGGAAAGGACAUCCAAAAGACUUCACAAGUUAGAGGAUAAGAUGGAGGAGAUAGCAACGGGGUUUGCUGCAAUAAAGGAAGCCAUCUUGGGACCCCAAGGUACAGUCCAUGAGAUGCCGGAGCGAUCGUAAUCAGAUGUGGAAGGUAAUUGUAUCCAUUAUAACUACGGAUUAAUUGUGAACACGAGAUGCAAUCACAAUUUUCGUAAAUUAUACCUUCACGCCCGAGAAACUUUACAUGAUUAUAAAUAAUCAUGAUAAUUACAUCUGGGUAUGGUAGUGUUCAGUUUUAUCCGAAAGGUAAAAUGGGCCUUAUAUGGUAAUCUGACUUUAUCUGGAAGGUUAAGUAGAGAUUAGAAUUACUCUAAUUUACCCAAGAGGUAUAAUUCAGAGUAAACAAUAGACUACCUAAUCUUGUACAGUUGUUAAAUAAAUUAAUGUAUGGAAAUCUAUAAUAAUAUGAAUUAAAUGCAUUUUGAAUCCAGUCUUCAUAGGAGCUGGAUGCGGAUGCUCUCCGUAUCUUUGAGAGGAUCCGGUGCAGGAAGAACUUAAAUUCGUCCUGCACUCCAGUGUCGCUAAUCGUUGGAAAAAAAAAAUAUAUUUAUCCGAAGGUCUAAAGAGAGUCACUCCUAGGAAAAUACCCCAGGAAGGGCAAACUUUCGUUCGAGCCGCCGAUUUUGAAUGAAGAGGUGACAGUUAACUUAAAAGAAUCAGCUCUGAAGAGGGACAAGUACUCUGGUGCUACGCAGAAGCUAGCAAGAUCUGCUUGGCUGCUUUGACUCCAAAACAACUGCAUGUGCAUCUAAGCCGGUAAUAAAUGAACAGCAGCCUCAAAAACGAGCGGUUAAAUAAGUGAUGAGAGAUUGGAGCAAAGUUGGGAUGCGGCAAAAUUACCAAUUGAGAUCGACAGAUCUCAAACGAUUGCACGCAGAGCUUGCAGCUUACCGACGUUGUCAAAGCAGUGGGCGACGGCACUAGACAAAAGGCAAGCUAAUGAUUAUUUGUUCGGCGAUAAAUUAGUCGACAAGGUUAAGGAGAUCAAGGCCAUUGGGGAAGUCUGGAAGAGUUGAAGCAGACAUUUUACCCCUAGUCGAGCCAAUAUCGUCAGCAGAACCAACGGUCUCAGAACUGCUUCAGAAGAGAAUGUAAGUAUGUUUGUGGGGCGUCUAAAGUAUUUCUUAAAAGCCUGGAAAACAAUCACUGAGGACAGAAUUGUCAUUCAGUGUGUAGAAUGGUAUAAAAUACCUUUUAAAUUGGUCCCUGUACAAACUCGUCCACCACCUGACAGGGUUUGGUCGGGUCAGGAAAUGGCAUGCAUCCAAUCAGAGAUUAACAGACUGCUUUCGAUAGGCGCAUUUGAGAAAGUACAAGUGGUUCCUGGACAUUUCCUUUCACCGUUCCUUCUGGUCCCUAAGUCGGAUGGUCAACAGAGGUUCAUUCUGAACCUGAAGAAUCUAAAUACGUUUGUUGACGCAGAACACUUCAAACUCGAGGAUCUUAGAUCCGUUUACAGCCUUUCGGAGCGUGAUAUUUUUAUGGGUACAGUGGAUCUUAAAGAUGCUUACUUUCUGAUUUCAGUAUGGAAGUCACAUCGGAGAUUUCUGAGAUUCCUCUUUAAGGGGGUAUUCUGGUCUAGAGGCACGAAUUUUAGGUUGUAGCGUCUCUCA